rnacentral:rRNA from 1 species
UUAGGUCCAUGGAAGGAAAGGCGCUUUCAAGCGUCGCCGGAAGAUGAGUCCGCCUCCCAUUAGCUUGUUGGUGGGAUAACAGCCCACCAAGGCGACGAUGGGUAGCCGAGCUGAGAGGUUGAUCGGCCACACUGGGACUGAGACACGGCCCAGACACCUACGGGUGGCAGCAGUGAGGAAUAUUGGACAAUGGGCGAAAGCCUGAUCCAGCCAUGCCGCGUGGGGGAUGAAGGCCUUCGGGUCGUAAACCCCUUUUCUGAGGGAAGAACAACCGGAACAGGAAAUGGUUCUGGUCUGACGGUACCCCAGGAAUAAGCAACGGCCAACUCCGUGCCAGCAGCCGCGGUAAUACGGAGGUUGCAAGCGUUGUUCGGAAUUACUGGGCGUAAAGGGGGCGCAGGCGGCUUGGUCAGUCUGAAGUGAAAGCCCGGGGCUCAACCCCGGAAGGGCUUUGGAUACUGCCAAGCUUGAGUACGCGAGAGGAGAGUGGAAUUCCAGGUGUAGCGGUGAAAUGCGUAGAUAUCUGGAGGAACACCGGUGGCGAAAGCGGCUCUCUGGCGCGCUACUGACGCUGAGGCCCGAAAGCGUGGGGAGCGAACGGGAUUAGAUACCCCGGUAGUCCACGCUGUAAACGUUGUGCACUAGGUGUGGGAGGUAUCGACCCCUUCCGUGCCGCAGCUAACGCAUUAAGUGCACCGCCUGGGGAGUACGGUCGCAAGACUGAAACUCAAAGGAAUUGACGGGGGCCCGCACAAGCCGUGGAGCAUGUGGUUUAAUUCGAGGCAACGCGAAGAACCUUACCCAGGCUUGACAUCCCGAGACCGCCUGUGAAAGCAGGUUUUCCCUUCGGGGACUCGGUGACAGGUGUUGCAUGGCUGUCGUCAGCUCGUGUCGUGAGAUGUUGGGUUAAGUCCCGCAACGAGCGCAACCCCUGUUCCUAGUUACCAUCGGUUCGCCGGGGACUCUAGGGAGACCGCCGGUGACAAGCCGGAGGAAGGUGGGGACGACGUCAAGUCAUCACGGCCCUUACGCCUGGGGCUACACACGUGCUACAAUGGUCGGUACAAUGGGCUGCAAUACCGCAAGGUGGAGCUAAUCCCAAAAAGCCGGCCUCAGUUCGGAUUGGAGUCUGCAACUCGACUCCAUGAAGUCGGAAUCGCUAGUAAUCGCGUAUCAGCUACGACGCGGUGAAUACGUUCCCGGGCCUUG